rnacentral:rRNA from 1 species
AUGGUGAGCGGCCACCUAUUCCACUGCCGUAAGAAUUCGUGGCCGCCGGAGGAGUAUGUGGGCCGGACCGCCCUGCAACUGUUGGACUUGGACGGCGGGUCGCCGCCGGAGCAGGCAUGGCGGAGGAGGCUCAACAGUCACGCGAACAUACUCAAGGAAUUCAGCGUCACCUUCAUGGAAGCAAUGAAGAUGAUGACCCUCGGGGUGAGGCUUUGGUCAUAUGUCCGUGAGGAGGCUUCCCAUGGAAGGAAAGCUCCUAUUGAUCCGUUUACAAGAGAGAGAUGUAAGCCGUCGGCUUCGCAGGGUGUGCCGCUCGGAGGGAUGGGGAGUGGUAGCAUUUCAAGAGGAUUCAGGGGAGAGUUUAAGAAUUGGCACAUCAUUCCUGGUUUGUGUGAGAAUUCGCCGGUCAUGGAGAACCAGUUUUCUAUAUUUGUAUCACGAGAUAGUGGGAAUAAAAAAUACUCAUCGGUAUUGGCUCCUGGACACCAUGAAGGCUUAAAGAAAUGUAGUGACUCUGGAAUUUCAUCAUGGGACUGGAACCUGAGCGGUCAACACUCUACCUACCAUGCAUUGUUUCCUAGGGCCUGGACUAUUUACGAUGGUGAGCCAGAUCCAGACCUUAAAAUCUCAUGCCGCCAGAUAUCACCAUUCAUUCCUCAUGAUUACAAGGAUAGCAGUCUUCCGGCAUCUGUGUUUGUGUACACUCUGGUGAAUACCGGGAGAGACCGUGCAAAAGUGAGCCUGUUGAUGACAUGGGCGAAUUCCAUUGGAGGUUUUUCUCAUCAUUCAGGAGGCCACUUCAAUGAACCCUUCAUUGGGGAUGACGGAGUGUCGGGAGUGCUUUUGCAUCACAAAACAGCAAAGGAUAAUCCUCCAGUUACUUUCUCUAUUGCUGCCUGCGAAACUCAGAAUGUGAGCGUGACAGUCUUGCCUGUUUUUGGUCUUUCUGGAGAGAACCAUGUUUCGGCGAAGGAAAUGUGGGAUACCAUGUCAAAGGAUGGCCACUUCAGUCGGGAAAAUUUCGAUGCUGGUUGUAGUAUGCCUUCUUCUUCAGGGGAGACACUUUGUGCGGCUGUCUCGGCAUCUACUUGGGUGGAGCCACAUGGUAGGUGUACUGUGGCAUUUGCUUUGGCUUGGUCCUCACCUAAAGUGAAGUUUCAGAAGGGGUGCACAUAUAACAGGAGGUACACCGAAUUUUAUGGAACUUCUGAAAGAUCAUCAUCUAUUAAUUUGGUACAUGAUGCCUUAACAAAAUAUAGACUUUGGGAAGAAGAGAUCGAGAAGUGGCAAGACCCCAUACUCAAGGAUGAAAAACUCCCAGAAUGGUACAAGUUCACCCUUUUUAACGAGCUUUAUUUUCUGGUUGCUGGGGGAACUGUUUGGACAGAUGGUCAACCUCCAGCGUUUAGUGAAACAAGUCCUGCUUACCAACAUAAACAUUCAAAGAAGGGCACUAAAUCAGAAUCAGUUAAAGAUAACCAUGUCAAGCCAGCAGCAGAGCAAGUCAAUGAUGGAGAUGACCUGCCUAAUGGUGAAGAGCGAAGCGUGUCAAUGUCGCAGGAACCGAUUCCUUAUCUACUUUCCAAGGAUGGCCCUGAAAAUGUCGGUAAAUUCUUGUACCUGGAGGGAGUGGAAUACAUCAUGUGGAACACGUAUGAUGUGCAUUUCUAUGCUUCUUUUGCUCUCCUUGAUUUAUUCCCCAAGAUAGAGCUGAGUAUUCAACGCGAUUUUGCUGAUGCUGUUCUGUAUGAAGAUCGGCGGAGAGUAAAAUUUUUGGCUGAUGGCACCUCAGGAAUCCGUAAAGUCAAAGGUGCUGUUCCUCAUGACCUAGGAACACAUGAUCCAUGGCACGAAAUGAAUGCCUACAAUAUACAUGAUACAAGCAAAUGGAAAGAUCUAAAUCCCAAGUUUGUACUCCAGGUGUACAGAGACUUUGCUGCCACAGGUGAUAUGACAUUUGGUAGAGAUGUAUGGCCUGCAGUCUGUGCAGCAAUGGACUACAUGGAUCAGUUUGAUCGCGAUUGUGAUGGUCUCAUUGAGAAUGAUGGAUUUCCUGAUCAAACCUAUGAUGCUUGGACUGUUCACGGGAUCAGUGCCUACUGUGGUGGCCUCUGGCUUGCUGCACUUCAAGCUGCUGCUACAAUGGCUCAUCGCCUUGGGGAUCGUCCAUACGCUGAAAAGUACAAGCUGAAGUUUAUGAAAGCUAAAGCAGUGUACGAGGCGAAGUUAUGGAAUGGAUCUUAUUUCAAUUAUGACAGUGGUACAAGCAGCAAUAGCCGGUCCAUUCAGGCUGAUCAGCUUGCAGGACAGUGGUAUGCCGCAUCGUCAGGCUUGCCCCCAAUUUUUGAUGAGCACAAAAUAAGAAGUGCGCUGCAGAAAAUAUUUGAAUUCAAUGUCAUGAAGGUAAAAGGAGGACGGAUGGGAGCUGUAAAUGGCAUGACUCCUAAGGGAAAGGUGGAUGAGACAUGCAUGCAGUCUCGGGAAAUCUGGACUGGUGUUACAUACGGUGUUGCUGCAAACAUGCUACUCCAUGGGAUGGAGCAUCAAGGUUUUAUCACUGCAGAAGGAAUAUUUCUUGCCGGCUGGUCAGAAGAUGGAUACGGGUAUUGGUUCCAAACACCGGAAGGAUGGACCACAGAUGGGCAUUACAGGUCGCUGGUAUACAUGCGGCCUCUUGCUAUUUGGGCAAUGCAGUGGGCAUUGUCACCCCCAAAGGCGAUUCUCGAGGCACCCAAGGUAAACCUGAUGGACAGAAUACAUAUAUCCCCUCAAGCAGUCCGAGCAGUCGGUGAGAUAGGUGUUCGAAAGAUCGCCCCCGAUAACAGAUGUAUUCCGAGCUCCACGUUCCAGUGCGAAUGCUAA